GGACGAAGACUGACGCUCAGUCCGAAAGCGUGGGAGCAAACAGGAUUGGUUACCCUGGUAGUCCACCCCCUAAACGAAUUAGAUAUGGAUGUGGAGCCCUGAGAUCUUAGUUGCGGAAGCUAACGCGUGAAGUCGACCGCCUGGGGAGUACGGCCGCAAGGUUAAAACUCAAAGGAAUUGACGGGGGCCCGCACAAGCGGUGGAGCAUGUGGUUUAAUUCGAUGCAACGCGAAGACCCUUACCUGCCUUUGACAUCCAAGGAAGUUACCAGAGAUGGUUUGGUCCUUUCGGGAAUUCUAAAACAGAGGCGCCAGGGGGUUGUCCACUUCUUUUUUUGGAAGUUGGGGUUAAUUCCCCCACCAGGGGCACCCCCUUUCCUUUUUUUCCGCACGUUCGGGUGGGCACUCUAAGGAGACUGCCGGUGACAAACCGGAGGAAGGUGGGGAUGACGUCAAGUCCUCAUGGCCCUUACGGCCAGGGCUACACACGUGCUACAAUGGUUCGUACAGAGGGUUGCCAACCCGCGAGGGCGAGCUAAUCUCAUAAAACCAGUCGUAGUCCGGAUCGCAGUCUGCAACUCGACUGCGUGAAGUCGGAAUCGCUAGUAAUCGCGGAUCAGAAUGUCUGCGGUGAAUACGUUCCCGGGUCCUGUACACACCG
rnacentral:rRNA from 1 species